UAAAAAAAAAGAUUUUAUUUAUUUGAGAGAGAGCACACAAACACACACACAGAUGAGCUGGGGGUGGGGGUGCAGAGGUGGAGGGAGAAGCAGGCUCCCCUCUGAGCAGGAACCCCGGGACCCCAGGACCCCGGGACCAUGAGCUGAACAGAAGACAGACCUUUAACCAACUGAGUCACCCAGUCAUCUCUACACCAACGUGGGACUUGAACUCAAAGCCAUGAGAUCAAGAGCUGCUUGCUCCACUGAGUCAGCCGGGCGCCCCCACGACGGAGGGGCCUGAACCCAACACCCUGGGAUUAAGACCUGAGCUGAACUGAGAUCAAGAGUCAGAUGCUCAACCGACUAAACCACCCAGGCACCCCCAGACUUAUUUUUUUAAUGUUUUUAAAACAAUUUUUUUUCUUGUGAUAAGAACUCUUAAGAUCUCUUAAGCAAAUUUCAAAGAUGCAGUAAGGUAUUGUUAGCUAUCGUCGUUAUGCCGUACAUUACAUCCUUUAUCAGGCUUCUUAAUUUUUGCUAAUUUUAGUGGUAACAAGUGGUUUUUCUCUUGGGUUUUCUAGCUUCAUUUCAGUUCAUCAUAUUCACAGUCCUUCCCUCAGGACGCCUCUGUCCCGAGCGCUCUCCACGUCAAUCUGCUCAAUCCACCCUGUGGCUGCCUCCCUUCGUCUCCAGGUGUCCUGCUGCCCCAAAUGAGCGACUCUCCGCUUUCUCUCGUUCAGCUUUUAUUUUUCUGCCUCUGCAACUUGAUCACGCUCUUCUGUGUUACUUUAUUGAUCCAAUAAAUAUUUAGUAAGUUCUUUACCUCCUGCCAGAUGCUGAGAAUGUUAAGAGUGGACAAGAAAGACAAUAUCUAGGCAGGCAUGGAGCUUACUUACCAUUUUUAGCAGAGGAUGGGGAGGGGCAGAAAGACACCAGUAAAAAUACAAAUAAGCUAAAUUUUCACAGUUGUAGGUACUAAAAAGGCAGCAAGUUCAUUUGACUUGCUAUGGCGUCGUGUGUGUCGGGUGGGGGAAGGGGCCCUGGGGAAAGUGGGCAUGUCCAGGUGGAAGCCUU